GCAGAUUAUGUUCCUCUAUGUUUAUAAGGUCUUUGAAGAAAAUCCAAGAAGGCUGACAGGGUUCGACCAUCGAGUUGGCUACACAUAGUUUCCUGGGUAAUGUUCACUCUGGUGAAACAUGUUAUGUUGAAGAGAAGUAUGGAAAUCCACCAGUCUUCAUUACUGAGAAUGGUAGGUCACUGAAGUUUGUACUGUUGCCAGCUGAUAAGAUUUUUUUCCCUUAAAUAAAUUCUCAGUUGAUAAGUUGAUGCAUUACCACAACGACUACAUGCCAGCCUCCUAGGUGCUGUAAGAUGGUUUCAUUUUUCUGUGCAUAUGCCAGAACUGAACCACCAACACUGAGCAUCAGCAACGUGUGCCACUGUAAUCGUUGUUCUGGAUAUAGAAGACCAUGAACCCGUAAUGUGUACUACUUCAUAUAAUGCAUUUGAUUCUAUGAGAUACUAUUUGAGAGAUAAGUUCCUAUGUAUGGGUUACACUUCAUAUAAUGCAUUUGAUUCUAUGAUA